rnacentral:rRNA from 1 species
UACGUAGGGUGCAAGCGUUAAUCGGAAUUACUGGGCGUAAAGCGUGCGCAGGCGGUUUUGUAAGUCUGUCGUGAAAUCCCCGGGCUCAACCUGGGAAUUGCGAUGGAGACUGCAAGGCUGGAGUCUGGCAGAGGGGGGUAGAAUUCCACGUGUAGCAGUGAAAUGCGUAGAGAUGUGGAGGAACACCGAUGGCGAAGGCAGCCCCCUGGGUCAAGACUGACGCUCAUGCACGAAAGGCGUGGGGAGCAAACAGG